GACACCGUGGCAGAGGGGUAAUGCUAACGACUUUGAUUCGUCAGGUCGUGGGCUCGAAACCCGCCAUGGUCA